GCAACGCCGCGUGAACGAUGAAGGUCUUCGGAUUGUAAAGUUCUGUUGUCAGGGACGAACAAGUACCGUUCGAAUAGGGCGGUACCUUGACGGUACCUGACGAGAAAGCCACGGCUAACUACGUGCCAGCAGCCGCGGUAAUACGUAGGUGGCAAGCGUUGUCCGGAAUUAUUGGGCGUAAAGCGCGCGCAGGCGGCUAUGUAAGUCUGGUGUUAAAGCCCGGGGCUCAACCCCGGUUCGCAUCGGAAACUGUGUAGCUUGAGUGCAGAAGAGGAAAGCGGUAUUCCACGUGUAGCGGUGAAAUGCGUANAGAUGUGGAGGAACACCAGUGGCGAAGGCGGCUUUCUGGUCUGUAACUGACGCUGANGCGCGAAAGCGUGNGGAGCAAACAGGAUUA
rnacentral:rRNA from 1 species